rnacentral:lncRNA from 13 species
CACAGAUAUACAGCUGCCUCUGCAUGUUUGGCACGUGAAGACCGAUGUGAGUUUUUGUGAACGUAUACUCUUUAUUUGAAAAGUUUGAAAUAUCAUCAAAGAAAGCCAACCAUGGCCCAGUGAUAAAUAUGGAAUUCGUAUGAAACAUCGUAUUGAUUAAUCAUCUUUGAGGAUGAUUAAUUAAAGAGAUAAAGUGAUUCUAUACAGAGAUGUAGCACUAUUUCAGGCUCACUCAUGUUCUAGCUUUAGGUGCUUCGUGGUGAUUUACUUUGUUAUCAGAUAAUUGAUGAAUUAAUUAGUAAACAAAGGUAGAGGAGAGUGAAAAAAAAAAACCCAGAUAAGCAAAGAACGAAAAUAAGGCCCAAGCCUGGAUCGAUGAUGACUGCUGGUGGCGUAUGAGUCAUGUAUGAUGAAUACGUGUCUGGAACUCUGAGGUCCAGCAUAAAAAGAAAAUCAGUUUAUUGGCUCUGGUGAAAAUGACCUUAUAGGCAGAUCUAAGAUUUUACAAGGAUCUUGCUUGGCAUCUAUUAUAAUUAGAAUCCAAAUCCAUGGAUAGUUAGAACUAGAAUCAUUAUAAUUAGAAUCCACGAAUUUGGACUCUAAUUAUAAUAAGUAGGUCAAUAAAAUUAUCCAUGUCCAAUAAACAGAUCGUGUUAUUCACCUCAAAUAUAUACAAUUAACCCUUUUAAUGAAAAAGAAUUAAUGUAUAGUUAUAAUAAGUGAAGAUGAAGAGCGCAAAGUAUUGUUCAGCCGUGAAGAAAUGAGUGAGGCAAGAGGAAGUAACGGCAUGGAAAACACUAAGCUAGUUAUGUCGUACACGGCUCCAGCGUGUUGCCUCUCGCUAAUGAGGAUACGGAUAACAUCAGCAACGGUCAAUAUUCUUGUUUUGUGUUAGUGGAAGUUCGAUGUUGUUUGUUUUUAAGAGCAUGUGAAAUAUUUAGAAAGCUAACUUGGAUAAGCCUAAAAGACUGAAUAAUGGAUUCUAGAUGCAAGGAUUCAUGGAGAGAGUAUUUCAAUCAUGUUCCCAUCUGGUCUGUUUUCUACUUCUUAGAAUGGACAUGCCCAGGUGGAUUUAAGACUUGGUCACUGAUCUCAUGGAGACCCAUAAUGAUCUCCAGUUCCAUCCAUGAAAUUGCAAAUGACAGGAUCGUCCUCUUUUCUAUGGCUGCAUAGUACUCCAUUGUGUGUACGUACCAUAUUUGCUUCAUCCGUCCACCUGCUAUGAUGAAUAGAUAAAGUUGGUAUUAUGGAUCAAUGGCAAUUCGAUAUUCUUAAUUUUCUUAAGAGAAAAAUUCAGUGGCACACCAGAACGUGCUUAAGCAUCCUGCCAUGUUUCCGAGCUCCGGGGUUGCCUCUCUGUGUAUGA